UGUCGGCAAAGCUCACACCCGGAACAUGUUUGCUCGUGCGUCUGGCGUGACCCCGGACCUGCCUGAAUCUUGGCUACUCUUCUGCCCCAGAAAACCAGACCUGCUUUCUGCCGUAACGACUCCUGACUACUCUACGAUCCCGGGCUUCCGGACCACCCACCAUCGGCGUCAUAGGACGCAUCGCUGCCACUGGGGGGGACACAGACUCCGCACACUGGGCGGAACCCCUGGAGCCUUCACUCACUCCCUACUUCCCUUUUCCCUUAAGUUUAAUAAACUUUCUGGUGUGACUCAA